rnacentral:pre_miRNA from 1 species
AACAAGAUGACUGUGUUCUUGCCAUGAACCAGGUCCCUGGUUGGUCAGUCAGUCGGUCGGUCGGUCGGUCCGUCGGUCGGCCG